rnacentral:rRNA from 1 species
AUUGAACGCUGGCGGCAUGCUUUACACAUGCAAGUCGAACGGUAACAGGCCUUCGGGUGCUGAUGAGUGGCGAACGGGUGAGUAAUGCAUCGGAACGUACCCAGAGGUGGGGGAUAACGCAGCGAAAGCUGUGCUAAUACCGCAUGUGAUCUGAGGAUGAAAGCGGGGGACCGAGCAGCAAUGUUUGGCCUCGCGCCUUUGGAGCGGCCGAUGUCGGAUUAGCUAGUUGGUGGGGUAAAGGCCUACCAAGGCGACGAUCCGUAGCUGGUCUGAGAGGACGACCAGCCACACUGGGACUGAGACACGGCCCAGACUCCUACGGGAGGCAGCAGUGGGGAAUUUUGGACAAUGGGCGCAAGCCUGAUCCAGCAAUGCCGCGUGCGGGAAGAAGGCCUUCGGGUUGUAAACCGCUUUUGGCAGGAACGAAACGGUGUCCGCUAAUACCGGGCGCUAAUGACGGUACCUGCAGAAUAAGCACCGGCUAACUACGUG